UCCACGCACUAUGAAGGGUAGGCCUCGUUGGCUUCUGGUCCCACACGUCGGUGUGUGGGUCGUUACCUUUCUAGCUUCGAUGUUAGAUACUGGAGAGAGGGGAGAUGGCGUGGGCGUCUUCUCCCCUUCUUCCGCACCUUUCUGCACGCACGAGAAAGGAUGAACCCAUCCUGAGCCGGAGUACUCCGAGCAGUGCGCCCCUUCCCCCGUUCUCCUCCACCAUGCCUGGGCUCCGCCUCCUCCGCCCGCAUCCUCCUCCUCCCCUCUCUCUCUCUUCUAAACCAUCGUCCUCCUCCCUCGUUGCUGGACCCUGCCCUGCUUCGCCUCCUCCGCCAGCCUCUUCCUCCUUGCCGUCGAUGGUAGCGGUGUGAACGGGGGCAGCGGCCGUGAUUAGCUGUGAUGAGUUGACCGAGCUGGUUCCACACUAAGGAACGAACCCCCUUGACGCCAUCCUCUGUGGCACUACUCUGCUGCCUCCGUUCGUCAGUUAAUCUGGUUUGUGAUCUCUUCCGCAUUCCCCUUUCCAGGAGUUCUUGCCUUCAACGCUGAGGUGAAACGGCUCUUCCCAUACUUGUCUCUAAGCAAUUUGAUGAAACGCUUGUGUCGAAACAUACUUUUUCUUCAGUUUUGCUUCCUGCUGCUGGGUGUUACUCCUCUCGUUGAUCUUUCCCGCUUUUCUCGUCGUUCUGGCAUUUGAAGCUCAUGUGAAUGGCCUCUCGACUAAAGAAGGCGGUUAUUUCUAUGCCUAAGUUCUUUUGUCGGUAGAAGAAUCUGUAGGGAAGAAAGAAAAAAAAUACGUAUGUGAAUGCCAAGUUUGGAUUUGCAAGAAACAACUUUAUGUGAAUGCCAAGUUUGUAUUUGCAGCGAGCAAAUGGAAGAUGGCAAUGCAUACUGUAGCAACCAUAUACGUUAGCUUGCUUUUAGAUUUUGAAUUACUUUGUAGUUAUUGAAUAACCAAGCAGUAAAACAUGCAAGAAAAUCUUCUAUUUGUUUUGAUCAUGCAGCCCUACUGCUCCUGAGCCCAAAUCCCAUGACCAUGCCCCCACCUCUCCUUGAAGGAGUCUGGUUGCUAAGUUUUCUUAAUCAGUAUGUAUGGCCUCUCCGCACAUGCCCUCUCUUCGUAUUUAAGAGGCCCUCAAGCUUUGUCAGUUUUCUUAAAGACAUGGAAUUUUAAUUUUGAUAGUCCCAACAACAGUGAUACAGAUGGAGCUAUCUGUUAUUUAUUGUCAAUCUGACAUACUUUUGUCACCUUCUAGCAUGUUUUAAGCUCUAUGAAUGAAUGAUGUGUGCCAUGUUUUUCUUCUUCAUUUUCAUGCAGAAGUAUUUGAUAUAUCCUGGGUACGGAUGAUUGAUUUAUUUGCAGAAUGUCCCAGAAAUUGUGAAUCUCGGUUUACAAGAAUCAACACGAAUGUUGAAACAUUGAUUUUUUUGAAGGUAUUUUUUCCUGUUCCCAAGCAUUUUCCUCAUGUUUGCUUCUAAAACGUUGCUUAGCAAGCAUUAUAUGAUUCAUGGAAUUAACUUAGCAAGGAUAAUGUAUCAGUUUAACUUUUGUAAAGAAGCAGACGAGCAGUGCAGUAACCCUACAUUAAAAUUAUGAGAUAUGUCAUAAUUCCGACAACGGUUCCAUAUAGGAAAUAUAAGAUACGCAUAGAGAAGAGCUCAAACUGGACAUUCUUUUCUUUUAGUUUCUAGAAUCCUUGGCAGAGGGUGUUAUAUAUUUCCAUAAAAAAAAUCAGCGACAGAGAUUUAAAUGUAGUAACAUAUGUUUAUGCUUUAAAGUCCGGUGUCGAACAGUACCCAUGAUAAAGCUACACGGUUGGAUGCUAUUGAUCACGUAAGGUGAGCUUAUAUGACUUGGUUUAACCUUUUUAGAUUAUGUUACCGAAUAUUAGGAGAACUUUUUGAUAUGUGUAUUUGUAGAAUUUGCUGAUGUUUGUUGCAAAAUAUUGGUGGCUAGGCACUAUGCUCCACAUACGCAAAGUUUUCAGUUUCUAUUUUCAUAAUUGCACCAGCCUUUUCUGUACCAACAAUGUGACGCUGCACUAAUAUAGAUUUUCACAAGCCAUGGAAAAAUAAAUAAUUUGACAAUCAAUAGCCUCCAGUCUACAAUUGUAAUUUUGUGCCCACUUUGGAGCUAUUGGAUGCCUGAAUGUCUCACGUUCCUUUGGUGAUCGUUGUGUUGUGUUCAAAAUUGUAGCUUGAGAGGAGGAAAAUAAUUAAAUAGCAGGUUGUACAGAGUUGCUACCAUACCAUUUCUUUGUGACUGCAUGGUCUCACCGUCAAUUUUCUAAAAGUAUAUUAGCAUCUUGUUCUUGGAAGAACAGAUUUUCGUUAUGUACAGGAGGUCUAACCAGGCAUGUAGUUUUUUUAGUCUUUUGUUCCUUUGCUUGAUUUGGCGCGUGGCGUGGGCAUCUGUUUCAAGUUGGGCGGCAUACAAUCCAUGCAAGGGUACUUAGUUGUUGUAUGUAUGGCAGCUGCAGCAUCUUGCCAAUUAGUCCCCACUAAAAUUAAUUUAUCUCUCCACCUUUUUGGCUCAUGAAUAUCGAUGCGAGUACUGUAGGUACCUAAAUGCUAGAGAUUACCACCCUUGAGUAGGUUUCUCUAAACAGACAAUAUAUGGUGGUUAUUUCUGCUACUGUAGGUUUUUCCAUGGUUUUAAUUGUGUAUAUGGCAUAUUGGCGUUCUCAGAGUUGUGGUUCUAGAUUUGCUCGCUGCUCUAUAGAUCUAUUAUUUGAAGAACUAAUGAUAUACAUUGAGUUACCUCGCACCAUCAUUUAUCCUUUCAACUGCUUGAUUUGGAUUUUUUUUAAUGUUAUCAAAUAGUGUCCCUGUGUCUUAACAAGCCACCCAUUUGUCGUCUGUAUGUUUUGUCAUUCGCAAAGUUGUUGUCUGAUGAAGACAGUUUGUUGGUCGAGGUCACCCAAAUUGAGUAUGGUCUCUUUUAUGUCAUUGCUCUGCCAGAGUGCAAUUUUCAUUGCAUGGCAUACACCAGUUGCCGUUAGUUGAUAUGUUUGUUGAAGUUCCAUUACAAGUUAAAUAAAUUUGUAGUGUGAUAUACUGAUUAUUAUAGUUUGAUAAUGUUAUGCGUGGAUGGCCUUAGAUAUGUAAAUAAAAACACCUUUAAGAAAACUAAGCAUUCAAUUAUUGUUCUGUUGUGUUAUUGAUUUCACCGGUUUUAUGUCGAUCGAUUAGUUCUGAAGGAUUCCACAUCGGGUAAUUUAGAUUAUGUUACUAGAGUAUUAGAAGAACUUCCUGAUAUAUGUAUUUAGAGCAUUUGCUAAGAUUUGAUGCAAAAUAUUGAUGGUCAGGCAUUAUACUGCGCAUAAAUACAAUUUUUCAGUUUUUAUUUUUGUUGUUGCAGCAGUUUUUGUAUAGCGAUAGCCAAUAGUGCGACAUCACACUACUCCAUUUUCACAGGCCAUGCCACAUCUUUACAUGUAAGUUUGUUCUCUAUAUAGUUCUCUUUCCAACCUUCACAUAUCCUAUUUGUCAUGGGAUCUGGCUGCUUUACUAUCUUUUCCUGGUGUGGACGAUGUUAUAGAGUGAGCUACCAUCACUUCCCAUUACUAACUGUAAUCGAUAAAUAUGUGUUCAUGUUGUAAAAGUUGGAUAUUUGUCGAAGCCAUUGUCAUGUCAUGCAAUUACUUGCAGAUCAACUAUAUAGUUUUGUUCGGAUUAUAAAGCGGAAAUGAUAAAACCAUACAACCCUUGUGUGAGUUUCAUUUGAUUAUUUACUUCCUCAAGUAGUAUGGAUAUAGUGCUGCCAGGAUAUUAAGUAUAUUCAUGAAGUUGUGCAAAGUUUAAAAUUGGUUGUAGUAUCUUGCAUUUGUCAAAUCCUCAUAUGUUGCUGGUAGUCACGCUUAUGCUCAGGAUAUUAAGUAUGCUUGUGCUAUGUUGUGACUAAAUAAAAGUAAUGUACAGGUUUAUCUUUUGUUUGCUCUACUUAAAGAGUCCAGUGUUUACCCAGAGGGCAAUUAUAUGUUCCUACUGCUCUCUCACGUGUGAGGUCGAGAAAAUCACUGAUGUUUCUAUUUUACUUGGCCUGCAUUUUGGUUUUCAAAUAGUCCUGCUUCAAUUUGAUAUUUCUACUUGCUUUUUGUUUGGUAAUAUGAUGUAUUGUUUUCUAGCUCUAGGCCUACUUGUGUUCAAGGUUUAGUUGAUUGUGUUUCUUAAGGGUGUUUUUUUAGUUAGUGGCAUCAACUGCCUUUUCUUCAGGAUAAGCUGACACCUAAUAAGGAUCAUGAGAACAACAAAGAUGCUAAGAGGCAACAUUUUGGGGUUAAGGAUAUUAACAACAACAGGGCUUAUGAGGCCGAAGAGAGCUCGAGUGGUGUCUUUUGGUUCUUGAAGCCUUGCCCUUUCCUGGUGGAGUAGAAGCAAAAUAAUUCAGAGGCUUUAAGGCCCUAUUUGAUAGUAAAGUAUUUUCUAUGUAUUUCGAGAAUACUUCAGUUUUUCAGACUACCACAAUUUUAUUUACAAUCAGCUGUUUGGUUGCCCUAAAAACUGUGAUUUUAAUACUAUAGUAUUUGCUAAAACACUGUUU